rnacentral:rRNA from 1 species
GGUUAAGUGACUAAGCGUACACGGUGGAUGCCUGGGCAGUCAGAGGCGAUGAAGGACGUACUAACUUGCGAUAAGCGCAGAUAAGGCAGUAAGAGCCGUUUGAGUCUGCGAUUUCCGAAUGGGGAAACCCAACUGCAUAAGCAGUUACUGUUAACUGAAUACAUAGGUUAACAGAGCAAACCGGGGGAACUGAAACAUCUAAGUACCCCGAGGAGAAGAAAUCAACCGAGAUUCCGGUAGUAGCGGCGAGCGAACCUGGAUUAGCCCUUAAGCACUCGGUGAAGUAGGUGAACAAGCUGGAAAGCUUGGCGAUACAGGGUGAUAGCCCCGUAACCGACGCUUCAUCGAGCGUGAAAUCGAGUAGGGCGGGACACGUGAUAUCCUGUCUGAAUAUGGGGGGACCAUCCUCCAAGGCUAAAUACUCCUGACUGACCGAUAGUGAACCAGUACCGUGAGGGAAAGGCGAAAAGAACCCCUGUGAGGGGAGUGAAAUAGAACCUGAAACCGUGUACGUACAAGCAGUAGGAGCACCUUCGUGGUGUGACUGCGUACCUUUUGUAUAAUGGGUCAGCGACUUAUAUUCAGUGGCAAGGUUAACCGUAUAGGGGAGCCGUAGCGAAAGCGAGUCUUAACUGGGCGUUCAGUCUCUGGAUAUAGACCCGAAACCGGGUGAUCUAGCCAUGGGCAGGUUGAAGGUUGAGUAACAUCAACUGGAGGACCGAACCGACUAAUGUUGAAAAAUUAGCGGAUGACUUGUGGCUAGGGGUGAAAGGCCAAUCAAACUCGGAGAUAGCUGGUUCUCCCCGAAAGCUAUUUAGGUAGCGCCUCGGACGAAUACUACUGGGGGUAGAGCACUGUUAAGGCUAGGGGGUCAUCCCGACUUACCAACCCUUUGCAAACUCCGAAUACCAGUAAGUACUAUCCGGGAGACACACGGCGGGUGCUAACGUCCGUCGUGGAGAGGGAAACAACCCAGACCGCCAGCUAAGGUCCCAAAGUAUUGCUAAGUGGGAAACGAUGUGGGAAGGCUCAGACAGCUAGGAUGUUGGCUUAGAAGCAGCCAUCAUUUAAAGAAAGCGUAAUAGCUCACUAGUCGAGUCGGCCUGCGCGGAAGAUGUAACGGGGCUAAGCAAUACACCGAAGCUGCGGCAAUAUCUUUUAGAUAUUGGGUAGGGGAGCGUUCUGUAAGCCGUUGAAGGUGAAUCGUAAGGUUUGCUGGAGGUAUCAGAAGUGCGAAUGCUGACAUGAGUAACGACAAAGGGGGUGAAAAACCUCCUCGCCGGAAGACCAAGGGUUCCUGUCCAACGUUAAUCGGGGCAGGGUGAGUCGACCCCUAAGGUGAGGCCGAAAGGCGUAAUCGAUGGGAAACGGGUUAAUAUUCCCGUACUUCUGACUAUUGCGAUGGGGGGACGGAGAAGGCUAGGUGGGCCAGGCGACGGUUGUCCUGGUUCAAGUGCGUAGGCUUGAGAGUUAGGUAAAUCCGGCUCUCUCUAAG